rnacentral:rRNA from 1 species
UACGUAGGGUGCAGGCGUUAAUCGGAAUUACUGGGCGUAAAGCGUGCGUAGACGGUUACAUAAGUCGGGUGUGAAAGCCCCGGGCUCAACCUGGGAAUUGCAUUCGAGACUGCGUAGCUAGGGUGCGGAAGAGGGAAGCGGAAUUUCCGGUGUAGCGGUGAAAUGCGUAGAGAUGUGGAGGAACACCAGUGGCGAAGGCGACUCUUUGGCCUGUAACUGACGCUGAGGCGCGAAAGCGUGGGGAGCAAACAGG